UGUCCCCGCGCAGGGUCGGGCGCUGGGGUGUGGAGACUGAACCUUGCAGACACCCGGGUCCGCACGUCUGGGAUGGACGUGCAACGCGAGAAUGUUUUCGUCUGGUUGUUUUUGUUUUUCGUUUUUAGAGACAGUCUCGCUAUAUUACCCAGGCUGGAGUGCAGUGUCAAGAUCUCGACUCACUGCAGCCUUGAACUCCUGGGCUCAAGUGAUCCUCCCACAGUGCUGGGAUUACAGGCGUGAGCCACCGCACCCGGCCUCUAGUUCUGUCUUUUUGCUCAGUAUUAGAAUUCGUAAGUUCUGGCCCCAGCAACUCGUCCUUUCAUCUGUCUCAAGUUGCACUGUGGUGGUCACAGGAGCUGUCCUGCACCUUGCACAUGUGGCCAUGAACAAGACUCGCUCCUUGCUCUCAUGGGGCCUUCAUUCCAGUGAGACACAAAUGCAAACACAAAAUUCCAGAAGAGUGCUGAGUGCUAUCAUGAGAAACGAAGACAGGCUGGAAGAUGGGCUCUGACCCCAGAAAACCGAUGGAGAGGCCCAAGCAGCCUUGGGAGCAACAGGCAAGUUGGAGGACACACGGCAAGGCUACUUGGAAGUAGGGGAGGGUGCAUGGGAAACCCUGAGGCUGUGGGGGGAGAGGCAGGAGCCAGGUGAAGUCCAGGUAGAUGGCAGUGGAGAUGUAAGAACAUGGUGGAAUUUUUUUGUUUUUGAGACGGAGUCUUGCUCUGUCCCCCAGGGUGGAGUGCAAUGGUGAGAUCUCAACUCACUGCAACUUCCGCCUCCCAGGUUCAAGCGAUUCUCUGGGAUUAUAGGCACCUGCCACCAUGCCCAGCUAAUUUUUGUAUUUUUUAGUAGAGAUGGGUUUUCACCAUGUUGGUCAGGCUAGUCUCGAACUCCUGACCGCGGGUGAUCCGCCCGCCUCAGCUUCCCAAAGUGCUGGGAUUACAGGCGUGAGCCACCGCGCCUGGCCAGAACAUGGUGGAAUUUGAGUGUGCUUGGGAAUACACUUAUAGGACUUGCUGAUUAGUUGAAUGAGGAAAUAAAAGAACGAAGAAUAUCUUCUGGGAUUUCAGCCUGAGCAACUGGGUUGCUGGUGGAUGGUGGUUCUCUUAUCAAGGAUGGGAAAGAUGGGUUGUCUCCCCUAAAAUACUGAGUUUUAAAGGCAGGGACUGUAUCUUUGCAGUCCUGGCUCCUAGCAAGGGCCUAGCCCUUAUAUGACAUUCGUGAAUGUUGAAAUGAAUGUGACACGCCUGAAACAAUCCUUCUCCCUCACCUAGGCCCACAUCUCCAAGUCAAUAUUCCAGUACAAGCCACAUCCAGUCCCCUCACUGACACACACAGGCCUGGGCCCAGGAGCUCACCCCUGUGCUGUAAGGCUAGGUGCAUGUGUUAUUUCCAGAGUCUACCCUUGGAGGUGCCUCAGACUCCUGGGUACCUGUCGCUGGGAGGUAGCCAGUCAUGCUGUCCACAUACAUGCUUUUGGGCAGUAGAGAAGCUGAUCAUUGGGAAGGUUUAUUUCCUGUCUCCACAACAGGAGGCAGGUCACAGCAGUGGCCACACAGUGCACAAAAGGCCAUCCCCUCACAGCCGCAUGGUUGGCAUGCAGC
rnacentral:lncRNA from 10 species